AUUUUGGCUGGAAGCAGUGCUCCUUCACUGGGCCUGUAGACAUUCAAUGGGUGACUGCAACAUCAUCUCUGUCACUGUAUUGUGAUUCUCCCCUUUGCUGCCUUCAACUUGGAGUCAGAUUUCUGCUCAGCUCUACAGGCUGGCUUCCAGUAGAGGUAGGUGGAGCACAGCAGAUACCCCACUGGGAGAGCCCCCAAAUACCCAGUCCUGCACAUACUGACUGCCAGGGAAUCAGGAGCCUGACACAUGAAUGACAUGACUAUCAAGUAAGGAACCUGUCCAGCUGCAUGCGGGAGUUCACACUGCCCACUUGGCUCAGAGAAGAAGAGUGGAUAUACACAAGAUCAUGAGAAGCAAGGCAAUAGUUGUCACGAAGUUCUCCCAACUCCCUAAGACAGAAGAUAACACAUACGGAAUUAUUAAUGUUCCAGGAAUCAUAGCAGAAAACUCCCCAAAUAUGAGAAGAGUUCAACAUAAAAGAUACAGAUUGGCAGACUGGAUUAAAAAGCAGAAUCCAACAGUCUGUUGUAUUCAAGAAACUCACUCAAUCCAAAAAGCUAGUCAUAGAUUAAAAAUUAAAUGAUGAAAAACAAUAUUUCACAUAGUGCACACCCAAAACAAGCAGGGGAAGCAGUUUUAAUUUCAGAAAAUGCAUGGUAAACUUUAAGAUAAAGAUGAUUGGAAGACAAAGAAUGUGACUACCUUUUAUUUAAUGAAACAAUCCAACAAGAAUGGAGAACAUUGAUAAAUAUUUAUCACACUGAAUACUGGAGCUCCUAUCUACGUAAAUACUGCUGAACAUAAAAGAACAAAUAAAUACUAACGUGAUCAUAGUGGAAUCUUAACACCCCACUUUUACAAAGAGAUCAACUAAAUAAAAUACAAAUAAAUAAAUAUCAGAGCUGAAUCACAUCCUUGGACAUAUGGACUUAAUAGAUAUCUACAGAAUAUUCCAUUCCACUACAACAGAGAAUACAAACGCAGUCCACAUUUAUGUGCAACUCACACUACUUUUUCCAAAAUAGAGCACAUGCUAGUCCAUAAAGCCUGCUUAAGUAAAAACAAAAGAAUUGAAGUCACCUCAUGUGUACUAUCAGACAACUUUCCACUGAAAAUAGAAAUGAAUGACAGCAGAAAUUACAGAAAAGGCAGAAGCACCCAGAAAAUUAAAAACAUACUCCUAAACAACCAGUGGGCUACAGAAGAAAUUUAAAAAUUUCUGGAAAUUAAUGACAAUGCCAGUACAACUCAUGGAAUCCUCUAGGUCACUAUGAGAGCAGUCCUAAGAGGAACAUUAAUUGCAAUCAAUGCUCACAUUAGAAAAACAAA